UCGGCCCAAACAAUUAAUAAAAUCGGCCCAAGAGGGAGCCCAAUAUUUUCGGCCCAAACCCGGCUCAAACCCGGCCCAAACCCGGCUGAAACCCGGCCCAAACCCGGCUCCCUUUUCUAACCUAAAUAUACACACACAAACACCUCCCAACACACACACAAGUUUCUCUCUCUCUCUAUCUCUCGGACCUCUCUCUCUAUCUCUCGGACCUCUCUCUCUCCCGACCCUCUCUCUGCUCGGCUGAGGGCGGCGCCGCCUCCGGCGCGCCGCCUCGCCGUCGCCUUCGCCUUCGCCGUCGCCUUCUCCUCUAUCUCUCUCGCUCAAUCUCGGCCGCUGGAAAGGCGCAGCAAGCGCAGCCACGCCGCCGCUCCGUCGCCUCCGCUCCUCCUCCAUGGCAGAUCCGCCACCGCCGUUCAACGCCACGGAUGUUCACGGCCAUCGCCUGGCCGUGGAAGAGCACGGCCGCCGCCUGCCGCCCUGAUUCUCUCUCUCGGUUUCUAGAUCUCUAGAUCGGAACACUGUUCAUCAUCUCUCUCUCUUGCUCGAUCCAGCCGUCGCCGCCACGGAAUUCGCCGGAGGAGCAGCGGCGAUAGGCCGCGCCACCCUCGGCUCUCUCGCCUUUCUCUCUGGAUCGACGGGUAGCCUAAGAUCGGAGACCACCUCGGCUCCGUCGCCGACCGUCGACCGCCGGCAGCCACCGCGGCUGCCGUCCCCUCUGAUUUCGACUCACACACACAGUAGGUUCAAGCCACAAUUUAGUUCACAAAAUAGCAUAGGAUUUUGAGCAGAAAUCAAAUACUGUAAAUGCUUAUUGAAAUCUGAAAUUCUUUUCUUGAAACUGAACUAGUCUAUAAAUUUCAGUUCAUAUGUGCAUA